rnacentral:lncRNA from 12 species
GUCAUGGCAGCCAUAAGAAGGUGUCUUUCUAGGUGUCUGGGUGUCUUUGUAGGCUUUUUCUCCUCAGAUCUUCUUAUUCUCCCCCUGUUUUCUUAGCUAUGAUGCCUCAGGACUUGCUGCCCAACCCAGCCUCAGUCAAGACUCCAAAACCAGUUUCUACGUGCCUUCUGCUCUGCAGGCUCCCCUCCUGAGUCCAGCCAGACUUCUGUGGGCCCUGUCUACAAGAACUGGAACUUAUAUUACCUCAGCUCAGCAUUGAGAAGAAAUCACAAGAAAACAGAUCUGCAUUAAGGAAAACAGAUGGGAAAACAGCAACGAAAACCAAAUUUCAGUACAAUAUUUUAUACCAACUACAGCUGUAGUGUUCUAUGGUCAUCAAAGCCAAUAAUCUAAAAGGUCAGUUAUGUUUAUUA